ACGCUGGCGGCAUGCUUUACACAUGCAAGUCGAACGGCAGCACGAAAGAGCUUGCUCUUUUGGUGGCGAGUGGCGAACGGGUGAGUAAUACAUUGGAACGUACCGAGUAAUGGGGGAUAACUGUCCGAAAGGAUGGCUAAUACCGCAUACGCUCUGAGGAGGAAAGCGGGGGACCUUCGGGCCUCGCGUUAUUCGAGCGGCCAAUGUCUGAUUAGCUAGUUGGUGGGGUAAAGGCCUACCAAGGCGACGAUCAGUAGUGGGUCUGAGAGGAUGAUCCGCCACACUGGGACUGAGACACGGCCCAGACUCCUACGGGAGGCANCAGUGGGGAAUUUUGGACNAUGGGCGAAAGCCUGAUCCAGCCAUGCCGCGUGUCUGAAGAAAGGC
rnacentral:rRNA from 1 species